CCUACGGGGCGCAGCAGUGAGGAAUAUUGGUCAAUGGGCGAGAGCCUGAACCAGCCAAGUCGCGUGAGGGAGUACUGCCCUAUGGGUUGUAAACCUCUUUUGUCGGGGAGCAAAAGCCGGACGUGUCCGGCUGUGAGAGUACCCGAAGAAAAAGCAUCGGCUAACUCCGUGCCAGCAGCCGCGGUAAUACGGAGGAUGCGAGCGUUAUCCGGAUUUAUUGGGUUUAAAGGGUGCGCAGGCGGAUUUUUAAGUCAGCGGUAAAAUCGUGGGGCUCAACCCCAUCCAGCCGUUGAAACUGGGGAUCUAGAGUGUGCGAGAGGUAUGCGGAAUGCGUGGUGUAGCGGUGAAAUGCAUAGAUAUCACGCAGAACCCCGAUUGCGAAGGCAGCAUACCGGUGCACAACUGACGCUCAGGCACGAAAGCGUGGGUAUCGAACAGGAUUAGAUACCCUUGUAGUC
rnacentral:rRNA from 1 species